GCACAUCAUAAAAAUCUUCAUGCUGUGUCUGCUUCUCAACCAAGCGCAUCUGUAUCAGACGAUCAAGAGAGUAUAGAUGUGAACUACACAGUUCUGCAGUUUCCUCUAGAAAACACAAACCCAGAGAGUUCAGAGAAUGAGGAGAGAGAGGAAAGAGGGAAGAGAACAAUUUAUUCCAGCCUGAAAUGUCAAAUCUCCAACAUCACCGAGGAAAACUGAGGAAAGAACUCCACGGUGCAGAUUUCCAUCAAAAUUAUUGAAGAUCACCAUACUGACCCAGAGCUGAUUAACAUCUAUAAAUUAUGAUCCAGUCCACACAUACGCUGUCGUGGUUAUGAUGAAGAUGAUCUCAGAGGUUAGACAGACUACAUCAGUUUUCAACAGUACCCGUGCCUUGUUUUACUCCGAUACACCUGAAUGGGCUUCAAGACCCGUAUACAGUAAAAAGAUAUCGAGUAAUCUAAGUGUGUUGUCCAGUAUUUUUUUCUCUAGUUGAUUGUUUCCUCUUCAU